GAUGAACGCUGGCGGCGUGCCUAAUACAUGCCAGUCGAGCGAACAGACGAGGAUCUUGCUCCUCUGACGUUAGCGGCGGACGGGUGAGUAACACGUGGAUAACCUACCUAUAAGACUGGGAUAACUUCGGGAAACCGGAGCUAAUACCGGAUAAUAUAUUGAACCUCAUGGUUCAAUAGUGAAAGACGGUUUUGCUGUCACUUAUAGAUGGAUCCGCGCCGCAUUAGCUAGUUGGUAAGGUAACGGCUUACCAAGGCAACGAUGCGUAGCCGACCUGAGAGGGUGAUCGGCCACACUGGAACUGAGACACGGUCCAGACUCCUACGGGAGGCAGCAGUAGGGAAUCUUCCGCAAUGGGCGAAAGCCUGACGGAGCAACGCCGCGUGAGUGAUGAAGGUCUUCGGAUCGUAAAACUCUGUUAUUAGGGAAGAACAAAUGUGUAAGUAAAUAUGCACGUCUUGACGGUACCUAAUCAGAAAGCAACGGCUAACUACGUG
rnacentral:rRNA from 1 species